rnacentral:rRNA from 1 species
CCCCUAGAUGUUCUGGGCCGCACGCGCGCUACACUGAACAGUUCAACAAGUCUUAACCUUGGCCGAUAGGUCUGGGUAAUCUUUGAACGCUGUUCGUGAUUGGGAUAGACCUUUGCAAUUAUGGGUCUUCAACGAGGAAUUCCUAGUAAACGCAAGUCAUCAGCUUGCAUUGAUUACGUCCCUGCCCUUUGUACACACCGCCCGUCGCUCCUACCGAUUGAGUGUUCCGGUGAAUAAUUCGGACUGCAGUAGCGUGAGGACUCCUCACCUGCAGCGGAAAGUUUGGUGAACCUUAACACUUAGAGGAAGGAGAAGUCGUAACA